rnacentral:rRNA from 1 species
GACGAACGCUGGCGGCGUGCCUAAUACAUGCAAGUCGAACGAGAGCGCCCGGUGCUUGCACUGGUCAAUCUAGUGGCGAACGGGUGAGUAACACGUGGGUAACCUGCCCAUCAGAGGGGGAUAACAUCCGGAAACGGAUGCUAAAACCGCAUAGGUCUUCGAGCCGCAUGGCUUGAAGAGGAAAAGAGGCGCAAGCUUCUGCUGAUGGAUGGACCCGCGGUGCAUUAGCUAGUUGGUGAGGUAACGGCUCACCAAGGCCGUGAUGCAUAGCCGACCUGAGAGGGUGAUCGGCCACAUUGGGACUGAGACACGGCCCAAACUCCUACGGGAGGCAGCAGUAGGGAAUCUUCCGCAAUGGACGCAAGUCUGACGGAGCAACGCCGCGUGAGUGAAGAAGGUUUUCGGAUCGUAAAACUCUGUUGUUAGAGAAGAACAAGUGCUAGAGUAACUGGUAGCGCCUUGACGGUAUCUAACCAGAAAGCCACGGCUAACUACG